UUUGGCAUUGGCUUUGCGCGCCAUGAUGCCGUUACCGACUGCAUGCAAUAAGUGGGUUUUACCCAGACCGGUGCCACCAUA
rfam:Rahnella aquatilis CIP 78.65 = ATCC 33071, complete genome.